rnacentral:rRNA from 1 species
UACGUAGGGGGCGAGCGUUGUCCGGAAUCAUUGGGCGUAAAGCGCACGUAGGCGGAUGUGUCAGUCAGGGGUGAAAUCCCGGAGCUCAACUUCGGAACUGCCUUUGAUACAGCACAUCUGGAGUCCGGAAGAGGUGGGUGGAAUUCCUAGUGUAGAGGUGAAAUUCGUAGAUAUUAGGAAGAACACCGGUGGCGAAGGCGGCCCACUGGUCCGGUACUGACGCUGAGGUGCGAAAGCGUGGGGAGCAAACAGG